AAAAUUCACUUGUUUCUUUUAAUCAUUUCUUAUUAUGGAGCACACAAGUUUUAUUCAUUAAAUUUUAUUCGCAAAGGUUUCAAAAAAAGGAGAAAAUAUGAUUUAAAUAAAUAUAAUCAUAGUCAGGAACAAGAUAUCACAAAUAUGUCAGCAAAGCCACAAGUUCCUAAAGAGGGAAAGAUGACAAAAAUAUGCAGAUUUGGAAUGAAAACAACUGUAACGAGAA
rnacentral:misc_RNA from 1 species